rnacentral:rRNA from 1 species
GACGAACGCUGGCGGCGUGCCUAAUACAUGCAAGUUGAGCGAUGAAGAUUGGUGCUUGCACCAAUUUGAAGAGCAGCGAACGGGUGAGUAACGCGUGGGGAAUCUGCCUUUGAGCGGGGGACAACAUUUGGAAACGAAUGCUAAUACCGCAUAACAACUUUAAACAUAAGUUUUAAGUUUGAAAGAUGCAAUUGCAUCACUCAAAGAUGAUCCCGCGUUGUAUUAGCUAGUUGGUGAGGUAAAGGCUCACCAAGGCGAUGAUACAUAGCCGACCUGAGAGGGUGAUCGGCCACAUUGGGACUGAGACACGGCCCAAACUCCUACGGGAGGCAGCAGUAGGGAAUCUUCGGCAAUAGACGAAAGUCUGACCGAGCAACGCCGCGUGAGUGAAGAAGGUUUUCGGAUCGUAAAAAUCUGUUGGUAGAGAAGAACGUUGGUGAGAGUGGAAAGCUCAUCAAGUGACGGUAACUACCCAGAAAGGGACGGCUAACUACGUG